GUGAGUUGAAGCACACACUAAUCCCGACGCAGUGAGCUGCCUGCUACAGUGGCACUCGGAGAGCAGUGAGGGUUUAGGUGCCUUGCUCGAGGGCACUUCAGGCGUUCCUACUGGCCAGGGAUCGAAACGGCAACCCUCCAGUUCCAAGCCCGAAGCCCUAACCAGUAGGACACGGCUGCCCAAAAGACAUCAGUGGCAUCACACACACACAUCAUAGUGGCAUCACUCACACAUCAUUGCCUGUCAGUAGUUUAUGUUAUUGAGACAUUAUCGCAACAGAGCAAAGUGCAAACCUGUGUAAGCCAGACAUUGGUCACCAUGAUCUGUUCUCUUUCAUUCUACAGAUUAAAAACAACAUGUCAGUCAAACAGAAGGAAACUGGAACACUUAGCAUACUAAAAUCAACGGGUGUGAGAAAUUUAAAAUUUUAAUUCACUGAAAUCAACAUAGACAUACACAAGCGUUAACACACUUAUAAGCCGACUAUUAGGAUAUGUACAUGAGCCGUUUUGUAGCUGUUUCUCUAAUCGUCACCAUGAUCCCCUUCCUAACUCAAGCUGGUAUGACAGUGAUAGCUAUUGGAGGGCCGACGCAGGAGGUUACCAUGGUGACUCAGGAAACAAAGGAGUGCGCGCACAUCACAGGAGUGCAGGUGCUGGACCAAAAAAAGUAACCGAGAAGAAAUAAUAAAGGUCCGCACACCGAUUAAAGCUCCCAAACGUGGAUUUAUUUAGCAGGACAUGUUGUCCUUCAUCAAAAAAUGCAAUGCAGAACAGGUGUAGGGGGUGGGGUAUAUGUACCUGGGAAUAGGGGAAGGGGUGUGCCACUCAUGAGUAAAGAAUAUAUACAAAAUGUACACAAGGGGGCCCAAUAGUGACCAACAGAACACCCAAUCAAUAUUGGCUGUACUAUUAAAGAACAGGAAAAAUUACAUUAAGGCCUGCUAGAGGCUCAUGUAGUAAUGUUGAUGUGAAAUGGUCUAAUACAGCUACAUAAAUAUAAUUUCAUAAAUAUCACAUCGUAAACUUGGCAAGUUAGAAUAUCCUACACAAAUCCAAAAUCUAGGUUUGGGACCUUUAUUAUUUCUUCUACCAUGGUGACUCACCACACUGAUGAGCUGCGCCAGAGACACCUGCAGGCUGACAGUCACCCGCUCACUGCGGUUGGCUGCAGGUCGGAUGAGCUUGUUGUAGCGAUCUUCCCCUAGCAACCAGCUCAUCAGGCGCUCCUCUGCACUCUGGCCUCCUCCACCUGGACGACAUACAGUACACACCUAUGCGUCAGUCAACCUGUAUGUGCUAUUAGGCCUACACACCUGACCUGUGCGUCAGUCGACCUGCAUGUGCUGUUACACACCUGUCCAUCAGUUUGAGACUUGUUGACCAUCGAGACAGACUUUCGUCUCAUUGGUGGACUAACCGAGCUGAGCCUGGUAGGGCUGCCAAAUGCUCUCAGUCUCAGACACUCUAAUGGGGCAGAGCCUGGUGGGACAGCGGGAAGCUGAGGCGUAGCCCAAGGACAAGUCUCCGGGUCUUCACAGGAGCCGAGCUGGCAGUAGGAGACAUCUCUCCAGGCUUCUCCUGGGAGCUAAGCUGGCAGUUCUGGGUUGUGCUGAAGCACACGUCAUUCAGACUAAAAAGUAACAUAAAGAUAACAAGCGUUCCUAAUGAGACCAUGGAACUGUGUGUGUGUGUUGAUCAAUGACAUAAUUUUGUGGGAGGAUUAAAAUCAGUAUAUCCCUGU